AUACCCUGGUAGUCCACGCCCUAAACGAUGUCAACUAGUUGUUGGGUCUUCAUUGACUUAGUAACGUAGCUAACGCGUGAAGUUGACCGCCUGGGGAGUACGGUCGCAAGAUUAAAACUCAAAGGAAUUGACGGGGACCCGCACAAGCGGUGGAUGAUGUGGAUUAAUUUGAUGCAACGCGAAAAACCUUACCUACCCUUGACAUGUAUGGAAGUCUGCCGAGAGGUGGAUGUUCCUGAAAGGGAGCCAUAACACAGGUGUUGCAUGGCUGUAGUCAGCUCGUGUCGUGAGAUGUUGGGUUAAGUCCCGCAACGAGCGCAACCCUUGUCCCUAGUUGAUACGCAAGAGCACUCCAGGGAGACAUCCGGUGACAAACCGGAGGAAGGUGGGGAUGACGUCAAGUCCUCAUGGCCGUUAUGGGUAGGCCUUCACACGUCAUACAAUGGUGGGAACAGAGGGUUGCCAAGCCCCGAGGUGGAGCCAAUCCCAGAAAACCGAUCGUAGUCCGGAUCGCACUUUGCAACUCGAGUGCGUGAAGCUGGAAUCGCUAGUAAUUGCGGAUCAGCAUGCCGCGGUGAAUACGUUCCCGGGUCUUGUACACACCGCCCGUCACACCAUGGGACUGGGUUUCACCAGAAGUAGGUAGCCUA
rnacentral:rRNA from 1 species